UACGUAGGGUGCGAGCGUUAAUCGGAAUUACUGGGCGUAAAGCGUGCGCAGGCGGUUUUGUAAGCCAGAUGUGAAAUCCCCGGGCUUAACCUGGGAAUGGCAUUUGGGACUGCAAGGCUGGAGUUUGGCAGAGGAGACUGGAAUUCCUGGUGUAGCAGUGAAAUGCGUAGAUAUCAGGAGGAACACCGAUGGCGAAGGCAGGUCUCUGGGCCGCAACUGACGCUGAGGAGCGAAAGCAUGGGGAGCGAACAGG
rnacentral:rRNA from 1 species